rnacentral:rRNA from 1 species
UACGGAGGGUGCAAGCGUUAUCCGGAUUCACUGGGGUUAAAGGGUGCGUAGGCGGAAUGAUAAGUCAGUGGUGAAAGCCCCGAGCUCAACUUGGGAAUUGCCAUUGAUACUGUUGUUCUUGAGUUCGGUUGAGGUAGGCGGAAUGUUGCAUGUAGCGGUGAAAUGCUUAGAUAUGCAACAGAACAUCGAUUGCGAAGGCAGCUUACCAAGCCGACACUGACGCUGAUGCACGAAAGCGUGGGGAUCAAACAGG